UACGUAGGUCCCGAGCGUUGUCCAGAUUUAUUGGGCGUAAAGCGAGCGCAGGUGGUUUAUUAAGUCUGGUGUAAAAGGCAGUGGCUCAACCAUUGUAUGCAUUGGAAACUGGUAGACUUGAGUGCAGGAGAGGAGAGUGGAAUUCCAUGUGUAGCGGUGAAAUGCGUAGAUAUAUGGAGGAACACCGGUGGCGAAAGCGGCUCUCUGGCCUGUAACUGACGCUGAGGUUCGAAAGCGUGGGUAGCAAACAGG
rnacentral:rRNA from 1 species